GACGAACGCUGGCGGCGUGCCUAAUACAUGCAAGUAGGACGCAGUUGCGAACGGGUGAGUAACGCGUAUGUAACUGCCUAUUAGAGGGGGAUAACUAUUGGAAACGAUAGCUAAUACCGCCUACUAGUAGAUGGACCUGCGUUGUAUUUGUUAGUAGGUAGGGUAAUGGCCUACCUAGGCGACGAUACAUAGCCGGGCUGGGGGGGUGGUCGGCCAACCUGGGAACGAGACACGGCCCAGACUGCUACGGGAGGCAGCAGUAGGGAAUCUUCGGAAAUGGGGGGAACCCUGGACGAGCAACGCCGCGUGAGUGAAGAAGGUUCUCGGAUCGGAAAGCUAUGUUGUUAAGGAAGCGGUACUUAACCAGAAAGGGACGGCUAACUACGUGCCAGCAGCCGCGGUAAUAC
rnacentral:rRNA from 1 species